rnacentral:lncRNA from 1 species
CUGCUCUGCUCCUGCUCCUGCUGGGCCUGGCCUGGACCCAGGGGAGCCACGGCUGGGGUGCGGACGCGUCAUCACUGCAGAAACGUGCAGGCAGAGACGAUCAGAACUACAAUUACAACCAGCAUGCGUAUCCCACUGCCUAUGGUGGGAAGUACUCAGUCAAGACCCCUGCAAAGGGGGGAGUCUCACCUUCUUCCUCGGCUUCCCGGGUGCAACCUGGCCUGCUGCAGUGGGUGAAGUUUUGGUAGGCGGAGCAAAAGUGAGGGGCACCACAGGCGAACAGGCAAUUUCUUGCAACCACCACCGAGGCCCCGAAAAGCACUGGUCGUCAGGGAGCUCCUCCCCUUGGCCCCCAGCCUGUGCCAGCCCUGGCCCGGCUGCCACACCUCUGUUUCCUAGGCUGGGGACCCAGCUUGUCUCUCCUUGUUUCUUCCCACUGCACUGUGGUGCUUCAGUGGCCACCAGCCUCGUCACAUACACCAGCAUCUUUCUGUACCUCCUCCCUUUGGUGACCUGAAGUCACUGUGACAGUUCUCCAGGAAGGAGGAGCUUCCUACUUUUGAGUUUCUCUGUGGAAAUAAAACAUGAAUCUUGUUUCCCUA